UAGUCCUUCAGGCACCCCCAGAAGUGGCUGUGUACUCAUCCUACACUGAGGCUCUUCCUACCUGAAGGAAGACAACACUGCAGCAGCCAGUGAUGCCAUGGCACCCCAUGGAGGCUGUCACGCUGUGUGGUGUGCUGGAUGCCAACAGCAUAAUCAAUGUUUUUCUGCCUUUGGACCAGCUCUGCAUGCCUCCUUCCCCAAGCCUGGAUCUUUCAGUGAUGCCCGUGCUACAGAAGAUGCUGUGCAGGCAUGACCAUGGCAACAGGAGCCUGAGAUGUGGAAGCUGCUGAAGCUCCAUCGGACGCACGGUUUCUUUGUUUCACCAGGAUCCAUUCCAUCUGGGGGUUCUCCCCACUCCCAGCCACCACCACGGAGACCUGGGAUGUCAGUGUGCUAGGCUGGGACCUGCAGGGAUCGCUGUCAUCUCCCGGUUCCUGCUCCUGCUCUGCCCGUUCCUGUUCCCUGUGGGAAGGCUGAGGUGAAGGAUGGAGCACGGGGUGCUGGCGUGGUGCUGCCUUCCCUAUCAGAGCAGGGAGAUGAAGCUGGGAUGUGUGGCACGUGGGGCAUACAGCAGGUCUCAGCACGGUGCAUAUGGGCAUGAGGCUUCCUUUCCCUUUCAUCUUUUUGUCUCCAUCCUUUUCUGAAGGAGCAGCAGAUGAAAGAGCCCACCGCUUGUGUCAAAUUCCUAUCAAGUGCAUUAAAGGGAAUCUUUUUGGCUUUUUGGCUUGCUUUGAAAGGAAACAGUGGCAAAAGGAGCAAGGAAGGUAGAAAAAAGACCCCGAGUAGCUUAGCUGCAUUUACGGUGUCAGCAAUUUGCUCUCCAAAGUAAUUAA
rnacentral:lncRNA from 1 species